AUUGAACGCUGGCGGCAUGCUUUACACAUGCAAGUCGAACGGUAACAGGCCUUCGGGCGCUGACGAGUGGCGAACGGGUGAGUAAUGCAUCGGAACGUGCCCAGUCGUGGGGGAUAACUAUCCGAAAGGAUAGCUAAUACCGCAUACGAUCUGCGGAUGAAAGCGGGGGACCUUCGGGCCUCGCGCGAUUGGAGCGGCCGAUGUCGGAUUAGGUAGUUGGUGGGGUAAAGGCUCACCAAGCCAACGAUCUGUAGCUGGUCUGAGAGGACGACCAGCCACACUGGGACUGAGACACGGCCCAGACUCCUACGGGAGGCAGCAGUGGGGAACUUUGGACAAUGGGCGCAAGCCUGAUCCAGCAAUGCCGCGUGCAGGAAGAAGGCCUUCGGGUUGUAAACUGCUUUUGUACGGAACGAAACGGCUCUGGUUAAUACCCGGGGCUAAUGACGGUACCGUAAGAAUAAGCACCGGCUAACUACGUGCCAGCCGCCGCCGUAA
rnacentral:rRNA from 1 species